UACGUAGGGUGCAAGCGUUUAAUCGGAAUUACUGGGCGUAAAGCGUGCGCAGGCGGUUAUGUAAGACAGAUGUGAAAUGCCCGGGCUUAACCUGGGAACUGCAUUUGUGACUGCAUGGCUAGAGUUUGGCAGAGGGGGGGUAGAAUUUCACGUGUAGCAGUGAAAUGCGUAGAUAUGUGGAGGAACACCGAUGGCGAAGGCAGCCCCCCUGGGUCAAGACUGACGCUCAUGCACGAAAGCGUGGGGAGCAAACAGG
rnacentral:rRNA from 1 species